rnacentral:lncRNA from 1 species
UAUACUAUUUCUGUGCCAAAAUAUUCAUCAAACACUUGUAUAUAUAAACCAAGAGCUAAAACUACUUCUAUUUUAAGACGGAAGGGUACUAAUAUUCUCGAAACCUUUACCACUAGCGUGAGCUGAACUGCUGAAGUAAAGCUACUACCAAGCCCUGUUAGAGAUGUGCAUUUUGACAUGAAGACUAGGAAUCGUCUAACUCUGUGUCUUGAUAUUGUUUACCCUUCGCUGCACUUGUGUAUUGGCGACUAGAACAACUCUGCAUAUGAACUUGCUGCUUGCUACGGCACCCAUUACAGCUGGUCGAGUGACCUCACUGGAGUGGAGCUGAACCUGCAUGCAUGGUCAAUAACUCAGUAUAUCAUGCCAAGUUAGGGCUUAUUCGGUUGGCUCUCAAUCCAUGUGGAUUGAGUGGGAUUGGAUGGGUUUGAAUCCCAGACAAGUCAAACGUCUUCACAAUUUUUUCCAAUCCCAUAUAAUCUAUGUGUAUUGGGAAUAACCGAACAAGCCCUUAUGGGCGUGGAGAUCCCAUGCAUGCAUAUGCAUGAACUACCAACUGUGGCCUCCUCUCCUCUCUUCUCCUCUCCUAUGUAGCUGGUGUGGGGGAAAAUGUGAACGGAUGUUCAGUUUUCCUCCCUUGAUUUUCGGCAACGCCGCCACUCGAGUCCUCGUCACUCAGUUUGUUUUGGUUUGCUGUCUAACUUAACAUAUUUUGUCUAACUUUUUCUUAGCAUAAGAGCAACUCCAGUAGAUUGUGAAAAAAGUCGGCCCGAAAAACCAGUUUUGAGGGAUACUAUAAUUUUUUCAUAGGCUAAAAGUAUGUACGCGCACAGCAGCUCCCUAAUAAACUAAUAGCCCAAUAUUUAAAAUAUGCCACGUCAAGGCUAUGGCCCAAAUGAGUUGAUGCUACGCCACCAGGAAAAAGGCGUCAAAUUAGCUGAUCUACGCCAUGGCCCAAAUUAGUGCUACUUUGUCCACGUGAUCGGAGAAACGACCACCACCGCUAGAAAAACUAGGGCAGAUUCAUUAUUUGUUGUGUGCGCCGCCGACAGAAAAAAGUAGGGCAAUUAGAAAAAGAAUAAUUGAUGAGUGGACAAAGCAGACUUGUUAAGCAGGUGUUGGAUUCAUCAUCCUCAGAUGACGAAGAAGAAUUCUUUUUCAAUGCCGCGCAUUUGAUCAUUGAUGAAGAUCAGUUUGAUGAAGAAUCGAGACGCCGCGGUUCUGUUCAUGGCCGUCAAACGGUUCGACGUAAUAGAGAGGAAGGACACGUGAGGCUAUAUCAAGAUUAUCUUGCAGAUUAUCAAACCUAUGGCCCAAGUUAUUUUAGGCGACGGUAAGGAAUCAAUUAUUCCACGUUGGUUAUCUUGAGUUGUAAUAAUUUGAUUUGAGUUUGAUUAAUAUAUAUAUAUAGGUUUCGAAUGCGGCGUACACUUUUUAUACGCAUUCUCAAUGCUGUCGAACAUCAUGAUGAAUAUUUUGUUCAAAAAAGAAACGCAGCCGGAAAGCUUGGGUUAUCUAGUUUGCAGAAGGUUACUGCUGCUUUACGGAUGCUAACUUAUGGAAUGGCAGCUGAUGCUACAGAUGAUUACAUUCGUAUUGGUGAGAGUACUGCUAUUGAGAGUCUACGAAGGUUUGUCACAGCUAUUGUUCAAGUUUUUGGAGAUGAGUACUUGAGAGAGCCCGACGAAUAUGACACUGCUAGAUUACUUGCAGUUAAUGAGAGUAGAGGUUUUCCAGGUAUGCUUGGGUCCAUAGACUGCAUGCACCGGAGGUGGAAAAAUUGCCCGUCUGCAUUGCAAGGUAUGUACUCCCUCCAGUGCAGUAAAGGUAGUCGUUUAGGACAUGAUUGUGCAUACCAAGGAGUGAUUAAUUAUCAUAGAGUUUUCCCUGUUUGCCCCUAUUAAAUAGGGAUAUGGGUGCAUUAACGUCACUAAAACAAUCAGGCUUGAUUGGUUGCUGCAGCAGCUUCAAGGCAUUCUAGACUGGAGGUCUCAAGUUCGAUUCCUCUUAAAUGCAUCUUUUUUUGUGCAAUUACUAGGGGCAACAACGUCCAAAUCCCAGACCCACGCGCGCUAUGACUUCUUUUUGUGCACGCUCGGUCACGCGCAGGAUGACUUCUUUUACUGCACCGGAGGGAGUAUAGUGGACAUGUGCAUGAACCCACAAUUAUACUAGAAGCAGUGGCUUCUAAAGAUCUUUGGAUUUGACAUGCUUUCUUUGGAAUGCCUGGGUCGCAUAAUGACAUCAACGUAUUGCAACGAUCUUCGAUUUUUGCAAGGCUAGCAGAAGGGCAAGCUCCAAAGGUGAAUUAUAUUAUCAAUGGUCAUGAGUACACAAUGGGUUAUUAUCUUGCAGAUGGUAUAUAUCCUUCAUGGGCGACGUUUGUGAAGACCAUACCAGAGCCACAAGGUAUGAAGAAAAAAUAUUUUGCUGAAGUCCAAGAAGCCUGUAGGAAGGAUGUGGAACGUGCAUUUGGUGUGCUACAAUCUCGUUUUGCUAUAGUUCGUGGGCUAGCUCGUUUUUGGGAUGAAGAGACACUUAAUAAAAUCAUGACAUCUUGUAUAAUUAUGCACAACAUGAUAGUUGAGGAUGAGCGAGAUGAACACGAUGACUUCAAUUAUGACACUAUGGGUGAAAAUGUUAAAAUUUCCCAUGAAUCCACACCUGAUCUGGAUGAGUUUAUUGCAAAUUACCAGACAAUUAAAGAUCGAUCAACGCACACACAACUUCAGGAUGACCUUGUUGAGCACCUAUGGAAACACUAUGGAGAUCAGAAUUGAGGGAUAGACUUAGUUGUAUUUAGCAUUAUUAUUUUUAUUUGAAAACAAUGAAAAAACCAAAUGCCUACUUGAUUCAAGAUAUCUGCAUGAUCUGUUUCAGCUAUUGUACUACAGCUAGCUCUCCUAAAGCUACUGUACUUCAUGAGAUCCAUACGAUUUGUUUCAGCUACUGUACUACAAAGGAAACUCUUACUCCUGUGAGAAAUACAAAGGAAUAGAAAAUAAAAAAAAUGUGUGGGCGACAUUUCUGUAGCAAGACGUCUAGAAUUCAAGUCAUGCUUUCUGCAGAGCAAGACAUUGAACAAUAGCUGUGAUAAAAAACACCUGAUGUUUGAAUUCAUCUGUACACUGGCCUGCUUUCCACAGAGCAAGACGUUGUUUUACAGAUAAUAGUACACUGACCUGUUUUUGUUGUCCAGUAUUGAGAUGAUUUCCCAUAAGAAAAUGUGAACGACUAGUAUUUCUAAAUGUAAACAAACACCUGAUGUUUGAAUUAUAUAUGACAAGCUAGUUGUGCAGUAUCCAAUUACAUAUUGCCAAAAGAAAGAAACCUAAAAUCGCAGUGAUAAAAACAGCAAACAUUUUAGCUAAAAAAUAAGCAAAGCUAGUUGUGUAUUAUCCAAUUACAUAGCACCAAAAGAAAGAAACCUAAAUCUAUAGUGAUAAAAAGCAAACAGUUUAGCUAAAGACUAAUCAACACCUAAUGUACCAUGUAACAUUAGGCAUUUUCAGACAAUAUCUUAGAUCGUAGUCUCAUGUAAUAUUGCUUCUGAUCAGCAGGCAUGACACUAAGGUCUAGUGUCAUAAUCCUCUCUUCUUCCCUCUUCUUAUGUUGUUCAACUUCUUGCUGCCUCAAUUCUAGCUCUUUACUCCUUAACUGCAUAUUUAAUUUCUCAUUCGCAGCCCUCUCUUGUUCAACUGCUAAUGCUAAUCUAAACCUCUCGUCUUUUUUCAUUUCUUUAAAUUCAUCUGUUUCUUUCUUCUUUUCAAAUAAUUUGUUUAAAGUUUCUGUGUAGCCUUUCUUUUCAGCUUGAAAUGCUGCUGCUUUGGCCUUCUUCUUUCCAGGUGGUCUUGUUGUGACAGUCUCAUUUGGAGUUGUAGGCUCGCUUGUUUCGGUGGCACUUGGUAAAUGUGGAGGUGAGGUUUCAUUUGAGUUCAUCUUUUGCUUCUUAUUAGAUGACUUGCCAACAGCCAAUUCUUCAAGUUUCAUCUCCCAUUUACGCUGUGUCCGCAACUUAUUCCAACAAUGCAUAUAUGGAAAAGCUUUAUGUUGCUUAUCUUCAGACUUAUAUAAAGCACACGCCUGUGUAAGCUGCACAUAGCAAGAGGAGAAUAUUAAUUUGUGAAGUACACAUAUAUAGACAAUAUGUGAAGGUUGUGCAAAACAAAUCAUUACCUUGUCUUGCAUUGUAGCACCACUUUGCCUUCUUCUCUCAACCUGAGCAAGGCAUCCAGUAAACCUGUUUACACCUUCUUGUAUGCUGGUCCAACGGUGCAUAAUAGAGUUCUGGCUACGGGUUGAGGAGAAGGUCUUAUUGGCAUGAAAGUAGUCAUAAAUUCUAGUCCAAUAUGAACUGCGAGUUUGAUUAUAACCAAUAAUUGGAUCCAAACUUAUGUUAAGCCAUGCAGACACCAAAAGCUCGUCUUCCACGUCACUGAAAUUCUUUGACCUCUUAUGGUUCGGUCUAGCAGAGGGUGCAUAAGUGUUUACUUCGACCCUUUGUGGUUGUUCCUCAGGAUACAAGUCAACUAAAUCGUCAUAGUCUUGUGGAUUUGUGCCUUCACUUAGGAGGCUGGUAUAGUAUCCUGCUAAUGGUACACAAACAAGCUAAUAAAUUAGCAGAAUGUUUAGUUCCAGUCCUACUUAUUAUUUCCUGAAUGUUAAGUUUCAAUCCUAAUACAACAUAAUGUAAUAUAUAUGUUCAAACUUCAAACAAAAGCUAAUGGUUUUAUCUCGCCUCUUGGGCAGCACGAAGUGAAACCUCUUGCUGUAGUAGUGCAGAUCACAUGCCGACCCCAGCCUAAAAACAUCAUCCUGGCAGUGCUAAUAGUUUUAUCUAACAACUAAAUAAUCGAUGGCAUCUACUACUUAGCACUCUGCCACGUCUUAGUAGACUGAAACACCAUCUGAAACAUAUGUAAUUAAAGGCACAAAUCUGAAGCAGUACCAAUUCCUAAUCAAAGUUUUGGAGAAACCAUGGCCAGAUCUAGAUCCAAAUACAUAUAUAUAUCAAGGUUUGGAGGUUUCAUUUCACACUGGAUGAAGGGAAUAGGUGCACGUACCUGUCGUAUGUUCAUCACCGACGAGAUCCGCGCCAACGCUAGAGGAGGAGAGGAGUGCUGCUUAACUAGUCUUAUCCAUUUGCUUCUGCACGCAGGGAGGACAAGCAGCAACUGACAGCGUCAAGAGGUAGAGAUGACAGAUAGAAAGUAGGAUGGCAGAGGAGCAAGAAGCCAGGAAAGUCACAGACCAAAAUAGCAGCCCGGGAGAAGCUAGAUUUGUGCGCGAGAAAAAAGAAGUCACACACCAAAAUAGCAGCCCGGGAGAAGCUGUGUGCGCGGGAAAAAAGAUUGGGGCCUUCCCACCUCCCGCACAAAUGAGGGUCGUCAAGGGAUAUUUUCGGGCUGUGCUACUUUUCCAAAAUAUUUUGGGGAGCUGCUGAAGGAAUGAUUUUCCAUGUAACCCUCAAAAAUAUUGGCUUAGAGCUUCUUUUGGUCAUCUACUGGAGUUGAUCUAAGGUUAGUUCUUCAAUUCGGACGAGUUAACCAAACAGGCCCUCGUGAAUUCUGCACCGGAUUCUUCCAGCUCGACGAAGCUGAAAAUGUAUCCCACUUCUACGCAUUAUAAAUGUUGUCAUUUUGUUGUUGAGUUCGAGCUGUUCUUCUCCAAACUGUGAGCGGCAGUUCUCAUUUUUCUGAGACACCUCGACCGCUCUCCGAGCCGUUUUGCCUUACGUGUAUCCUACUGUACUAAGGCGAGUGCAGCAGGCGCCAAAAACAAACUGCCGACGAGGCAGGAUGAGUAAAAUUAAACAACGGCCGGGUGGGAGCCAACGCGAAAGCCAACAACAGGCUUGCAUUGCAGCAGCUCGAUCUCGAUCGACCAGGGGAUUCCUAGUUCACCAGGUGGCCUGCACUGCACAAACGCAAACAGAAUCUUGAGCGCCCCCAAACUUUUGGCAGCAGGAUGCAUCCACAUGCAGAUGGGUGUAUGUAUAUUCAUGUACUUUUGCUCUCUGACUGCAUCUUUUACCAGCUUUCUCAUCUGGUUCAAGAAUCUCUCGAUCUCUCCUGUGUUUCAGUCCGUGUGCAUAUUAACACACGGAUGGCAGGACUGAAAACUAGGGGAUGGAACCGGGAGUACUCAGCUGCUCUUGAUGUGGGGCGUGGGGAGGCUCCACUUCACGUGCAUGGCGAUGAUAUCGAUCGGCAUCAAGCUUUACACUAGUUCUGAUCCUGGUAUGGUACGUACGGUUCAUUUUUUAAAAAAUGUCGAAAAAAGAAGCUAAAGCAGUGCGUUGAAUAACAGAGGGAAAAUGAAUGGGUUGAUGAAGUGGCCAAACAACAACUAAUGCAAGAUUAUUGUAUUCGCAUACGUACGUAUAUGUACUAGAUAUCUGUUUUCUCUCGAUAUAUAUUCUUCCAGUUCAGUCUAUGUGAACAACUCACCUGAAGCUUGCAACAAGCACAGUCCAAGUGGAGUAGAUUAUAUUAGCAGGCGAUGAUGCAAGAUUCCUUCCCUGCAUCAUGUGCAUGCAUGCUAAUUAAUCAAGAGCAGCAGAUGCAGAUGGACCCAAAUUAACAGGCGGCAAUUGGCAGCACCCAAAGCUAGCUAUAGCCCAAUCAGGCAAUUAGUUUAUCCUGAAUAUGAACCACCACGCACAUGGUCCGAUUAGUUAGAAUGUCAACACGGCUAAUCGAGCUAGCAAACGUGAAAUCUGCUUGCAGGUAGCUGCAUUCCGCUAAUGGUCCGAUGGAAUCGAUGUAUCGAUGCAUGAAUGGAUGCAUUAAUUCCAUCGGACUAUUGGCGGAAUAUGCAGCUGCAAUUCUAACUAAUUUUCCUGUUUUUCUGCCUCUCUUAUGCUCUGUGUUCACAUGGUAGAGCAGCUAGCUAGGAGGUUAGAUGACGAGUACACAGUUUGUCAGUGUUGACAUUAUUAUAUUUCUAAUGAAAGCUUGGCACUUUGGCUCCUAAAUUAAUAAGAGUUUUUCCUUCCAUAUCAAAAAGUGCAAUUCAUGUUUUUUUUGGAGAAAUGAUACAAAACAAAUACCAUCAGAUUGAUCAUGAGAUGUAUUUUCAUACUAAGCUUAGUUGGUGACAUAAAUAUCAGCACCAUUUGUUAUUGACUUGAUCAAAGUGAAAAAUAAUUCUCUCACGCAAAUUGUGUAGUUGCAUUUUUAAGGGGACAGAGAGAGAGGAGUAUACUCCUAGUAACUAAGUUUAUGUAUGUAUGUAUGUUGUAUAAUGAUCCUGAUAUCCAAUCUAUACUAUACUUAAAGCACCAGUUUCAACGGUCGUCUCGCGUCAUCUUUUUAUAAAUAACCCCUCACAGCUAUUUCAAAUUAGUCUAUUGCACGCCAGACACCCCGCGGGCCACAACUCUGGCUCAGACACGUCAUGUCGGCCUGCUGACUGCGUCAGGACAGCCUGUUAGCCCGUCGACCCAUUUGAUUAAACCAGCGUAAAAUGUUAAAAAUGGUGCAGGAGAUAGGUUCGAACACAUGUCAUGAUGGAAGAAAGACGAGAGACACUAGGUACAAUUGUUUAACCAGUAGAAUAUUAUGCUCAGAUGUUUUUAAUAUUGAAUAUAAAUUAUAUAUAUGUAUAUACAUUUUUUGUGAAAUAAAAAAUAUAUAAUCGUAUCGGGCCGGACCUGCACUACGGGCCGAGGCUACAUCCCAAGCACGUCACGACAUUCUUGGCUCUUGCAAACAUUAGAUCGUUUCUGAGACCACAUUGGCGCAAUGGACUCCAUGGUGUUUGAGGUUGCUGAAUUGGAUGGAGCAACAAUAAUUUGUCACACUAACAGUAAAAUGAAAGGUUAUUUGUUAGUUUUAAACGUUAGUAAUUGCUACGAAGUAGCAUAAUUUAUAUGGAGCUAAGAAGUCACAUGAACUCAAACUUAUAAAAAAGAUAUAUCAAAAUAUGGAGUGAUUGCUAAAGUCAGACAUCAAUAAAAACUUUCUCUUAGGUCUCUGUAUGAUAGAAUUAUGUUAUUUUAUAAUCUAUGUUCGUUCAGUCAGUCAUUAUGAACUCUCUUCUAAUCGCUCACUUUAUUGGUCAUGUUAUAUUGGAUUGAGUAAAUAAUAACAUCAGUUAGCCAAAUUUUUUAAAAAAUAUUAUAGUGGAGACAAUCAAUAAAAAAUAUUAAAUUUUUUGGUGGAUACUUUAUAUGGAUAUUGUUGUAAGCCGUCGCAACGCACGGGCAAUCGACUAGUUUAAAUAUAUAUGCCAGUGUCAUACUAUUUUAGGCUAUUCCCAGUCCAAAAUAUUAUAGUCCAAUAUCCAAUAAUGCCACAUAGGAUGAAAAGUAUGAUACCGCUACAAGAUACACCUUCUGUAGUGUAUAGUAUUAUAGUUAUAUGUUUUAAUUAUUUAAUUGGUGUGAUGUUGUGUCUAUGAGAACGGACCCCAAGUAUUAUUUUUUGUGCCACAACCUAAGAUAUGGUGUCUGUCGGGGAGGAAAUCUCCCCGGCCGGGUGGCGAAUUGCACCCGCCCUAAAUCCUAAAGAGAGGAGGGGCCUAAGCGUUUUGCUUGCUACGAGACUGGUGGAUCAACACACGAGAGCACGCGAGGGUUUAGAGUGGUUCGGGCCGCCGGAGCGUAAUACCCUACUCCACUGUGUGAUGUAUUGCUUAGGAGCUUGUAUGAACUUGAGAGUGUCUGCCUAGAGUUGGGUCUCGUAACGUCGCAUGCAUCCCCUUUUAUAGCUGAAGGGGGGCAUGCACAAAGGCACUGAGCCCCGAAAUGUGGGUCCAGGGACAUAGAGAAUAUAACGCUUGGGACUAUAAAUAUUUGUUGUCGGGGCAAUCCCCUUGUGUCCUGUCGUCCGAGAUCUGUGGAUCUUCGGCGUGCAGGGGAAGAUUCUUGUAGAAGGGAUAACACAUUGUGCUGCUUGGCACGGACGCACUGUUCGCCAGCAGACCCAGCAGGCGCGCCACCUGCUGGAUGACCUUGACGCCGCCUGCCAGCGGAUGGGACGGGACACAUUAAAUGUUGAAAGGGCACGUCGCCCGUCAGCGCAGUGACAGGCGGCGCGUCCUCUCCUCAAUAAAUGCAGGGGCUACACGGCUUUACGUCAGGCUCGGCCCGAUGGCUUAUGUCAUGGGCCACAAGCAGCGGGCCUUCGCCUGGGCAGGGAGCAGAGAGCAAGGCCUGCACAUGUGUCGGCAUUGGACCCAUGUAUCCCCCAAGGUCCUUCUCGUUCCGGAACCCUGCCGGGGUUCGGACCUACCCUGGGGCUCCGGACCUUUAUGUAUAUAGGGGCCCGGUGACCCUCUAAGGGGGUUUGGUCUUACUGAGGCAUGGUGCCUUUCCUCGCCAUGUGACGCCCUUUGGCCCGCCCAUCCGGUGGAGUUAGGCGCGGUCCUCCGCGCGGCCAGGAGACGUCGCAGGGGUGCGAUGCCUUUAUGCUGUAGGAGAGGGUACCCCUGAUUUAGGGUACCGACAGUGGCCCCCGGUCCCGCCUCAGGGGAGGGUGCGAGCCUGCAUGUGGGACCAGAGUCUGUCUGGUGGUUGGACCGCUGCUUCCGUGCGCCUGUUGCUGCAAUUAUUGUCGGCCCGCUUAUGACCCCGCCAACUGCCGUGCCUAUUCUUACAGCUGGCUGAUCCGUGACUGUCGUACUUAACGACAUUGCUUGGCCAUGCGCGGGGCUGCCUCGAGUCGCUGCACUGGUUCUGAAAAAUUUACCUUUUCAGAAUUCGUGACAGUCCCGAGAAGACAAGGCAUUGGCGCAGGCGGCGAUGCGGCUUCUUUGCACACGGUAACCGGUGCGUCGGUUACAUGACGUGUGGGCCUGGGCCCCUGAGUUGGACCGCCAGUUGUGGCGGAGCUGAGGGAGCGCACAGCCAUGGGACGGUUGUACGCUUCUUGCGCGACGGUUUGCCUCUUUGACCGCUGGAUACGGCGAAGAUGAAAGGACGCUUAAUCGUGGGGCGGUUGCAUGCCCCUUGCACGGCGGUCCGCCUUCCUAACUGCUAGUUGCCCCGAAAAUGAAGGGGCGCGUAACCGCAGGGCAGUCGCACGCUCCCUCUUAGGGUCAGUUUGCAUGACAUGUGGGGCCUGGCCCCCAUGUCAUAAGGUGGGAUCCUUGGUGCACACUGGGGGAGACUUCACUCGUGACGCUUCAGGGGCGCGAGCGGGAAGAUCUGCCUUUAAAAAGGGGGUCGAUCUCCCGGUCAGUAGUCAUGCCUCGCUCCUCUUGCGACCACCGCACCCUUUCGCCUUCUGGGCCUCCAAAUGGUGUGCGCCGGUGUUCUCUGGAGGGAUCCGCGGCAAGGCCGUCUCUUCCGACGACUUCACCAUGGGAGAGCGUGCACUCGUGGUGGUGUCGCCGAUCUUGUCUUCUUUCCGCUGCUGUUGGAGGGGUGCAACCCCAUGGGAGUUGGUAUCCUUCUACCACCAUUUGGCUUCAAGGAUUUUCAUCAUGCAGCCCGGCUGUAGUCCCCCGCCGAUGGUCACCCAGAAGAAUGACCACCAGCCUCGUGGUGGGGAGAAGCAAGCCUGAAAGGGAAAUGUGCCCUUGGGCCAUUUCUAAGUAUUUUGGUGAUUUAGUGUCCAACACAAGUGCCUAAGUGUUAAAUGGUGGACAAAGUACAAAUCGAGUAUAAAGGUAUGUUUCUCAGACUUAGUACAUUGUUUUAGAGACUAAUGUAUUGUGUCUAAGUGCUGGAAAUAGGAUAAUCAAGUUGAAACUAAAGAUGGCUUUGUUCAGCCAAAGUCAGCCCUGUCUGGGUGCACCGGACUGUCCGGUGGUGCAACAGACAGUGUCCGGUGGUGCACCGGACAUUGUCCGGUGGUGCACCGGACAUUGUCCGGUGCGCCAGGCUAGCUCAGGCGAACUUGCUGCUCUCGGGAAGUGAUUAACAGCGUACGACUAUAAUUCACCGGACUGUCCGGUGUGCACCGGACUGUCCGGUGAGCCAACGGUCGGCCGGGCCAACGGUCGGCCGUACGAUCCGCGCGAGACACGUGGUCGAGCCAACGGUCAGAAGGGGGCACCGGACUGUCUGGUGUGCACCGGACAGUGUCCGGUGCGCCAACGGCUCUCAAGUGCCAACGGUCGGCUUCGCCAAAGAAGGAAAGAAAUCCGCACCGGACAGUGUCCGGUGGUGCACCGGACUGUCCGGUGCGCCAGGCGACAGAAGGCAAGAAUUGCCUUCUUGAAUUGCUCUCAAUGGCUCCUAGCUGCCUUGGGGCUAUAAAAGGGACCCCUAGGCGCAUGGAGGAGAACACCAAGCAUUCUCUAAGCAUUCCUAAGCACCAAGACUUCGAUUCCGCGCAUUUGAUUCUUUGUGAUAGCAAUUGGAGCUCUAUUUGAGUUGUGAACUCAUCGAGUUGUGUUGUGAGCUCUUGUUGCGACUUGUGUGCGUGUUGUCGCUCUGAUUUUGUGUCUUGUGUGCGUUGCUCAUCCCUUCCUUACUCUGUGCUUCUUUGUGAACAUCAAAGUGUAAGGGCGAGAGACUCCAAGUUGUGGAGAUUCCUCGCAAGUGGGAUAUAGUAAAGUGAAAGCAAAACACCGUGGUAUUCAAGUGGGUCUUUGGACCGCUUGAAAGGGGUUGAUUGCAACCCUCGUCCAUUGGGACGCCACAACGUGGAGUAGGCAAGUGUUGGACUUGGCUGAACCACGGGAUAAACCACUGUGCCACCUCUGUGUUGAUCUCUUUGUGGUUAUCGUGUUGUGCAAGCUCUCUUCUCUAGCCACUUGGCUUAAUUGUGCUAACUCCUAAUCAAGUUUUGUGGAUUAAGUUUCAAGUUUUCAUAGGAUCACCUAUUCACCCCCCCUCUAGGUGCUCUCAAUUGGUAUCGGAGCCAUUCUCUUCAAGAAAGGGACUAAUCGCCCGAAGAGAUGGAUCCUAAGGGCAAGGGGAUUGUGAUCAAUGAUAAGGAGAAGGAGUCCUUCGUCAACGAGCCAAAAGAUGACAAGCCUACCAACUCGGGCUCGGGCCACAAACGAAAAGAUGGAAAGAAGAAGAAGACGAGGCACAUCAAGGAGAUUGUCUACUACGACGACAGCGACGAGUCCUCUUCUUCCCAAAAGGACGACGACAACGACUACGAGAAAAAGAAGACGGUUAACUCAAACUUCUCUUUCAAUUAUUCUCGUAUUCCGCAUAGCUCAAAUGCACAUUUGCUUUCCAUUCCUCUUGGCAAACCUCCUCAUUUUGAUGGAGAGGACUACGGAUUUUGGAGUCACAAAAUGCGUAGUCACUUGUUCUCUCUCCAUCCUAGUAUAUGGGAGAUAGUAGAGAGUGGAAUGAAAUUUGAUAGCUCAGAUAGUCCGUUGUUUAUCAAUGAACAGAUUCAUAAAAAUGCACAAGCUACUACUGUGUUGUUAGCCUCAUUGUGCAGGGACGAGUACCAUAAGGUGAGCGGCUUGGACAAUGCCAAGCAGAUUUGGGACACCCUCAAGAUCUCACAUGAGGGGAACGACGUCACCAUGCUCACCAAGAUGGAGUUGGUGGAAGGCGAACUCAGGAGAUUCGCGAUGAUAAGAGGGGAGGAGCCAACCCAGACGUACAACAGGCUCAAAACUCUCGUCAACAAGAUAAGGAGCUAUGGAAGCACGCGAUGGACGGACCAUGACGUUGUCCGCCUAAUGCUAAGGUCCUUUACCGUCCUUGAUCCACAUCUUGUGAACAAUAUUCGUGAGAAUCCUAGGUACACGAAGAUGACGCCCGAGGAGAUCCUUGGAAAGUUCGUAAGCGGACGGAUGAUGAUCAAGGAGGCUAGAUACGUCGACGAUGCAUUAAAUGGCCCAAUCCAAGAGCCUCAAACUAUUGCUCUCAAGGCAACAAGGAGCAAGGAGGCGCUACCUAACAAGGUGGCGCAAGUUGAGGCGGUCGGGCUUAAUGAUGAAGAGAUGGCCCUCAUCAUCAAGCGGUUCAAGACGGCGCUAAAGGGUCGCAAGGAGCACCCCAACAAGAACAAGACGAAAGGGAAGCGCUCCUGCUUCAAAUGUGGUAAGAUUGGUCAUUUUAUCUCUAAUUGUCCCGAUAAUGAUAGUGACCAGGAAAAGAAGAGUGGAAAGUGGGAAAAGAAGAAGAACUACAAGAAGGCGAAGGACGAGGCACAUCUUGGAAAGGAGUGGGAUUCGGAUUGCUCCUCGUCCGACUCCGACAACGAAGGACUCACCGCCACCGCCUUCAACAAGUCAUCCCUCUUCCCCAACGAGCAUCAUACUUGCCUCAUGGCAAGGGAAAAGAAGGUAAGCACUCGUAAUACUAGUACUUAUGCUUCUUCAAGUGAGGAUGAGUCUAGUGAUGAUGAUGAAAUAGAUUAUUCAUGUUUAUUCAAGGGCCUAGAUAGAACUAAGGUUGAUAAAAUUAAUGAAUUAAUUGAUGCCUUGAAUGAUAAGAAUAGGUUAUUAGAAAAGCAAGAGGAUCUUUUGUAUGAAGAGCAUGAUAAAUUUGUUAGUGCACAAAAUUCUCUUGCUCUAGAAGUUAAAAGGAAUGAAAUGCUUUCUUGUGAAUUAUCUACUUGUCAUGAAACCAUUUCUACUUUAAAAGGUGUUAAUGAUGAUUUAAAUGCUAAACUAGAAGUAGCAAAUAAAUCUAACUCUUGUGUAGAACAUGUUAUGAUUUGCACUAGGUGUAAAGAUUUUAACGUUGAUGAUUGUAAUGAACACCUAGUUUCAAUUUCUAAAUUGAAUGAUGAAGUGGCUAGUCUUAAUGCCCAACUUAAGACUAGCAAGAGUGAAUUUGAUAAACUAAAAUUUGCAAGGGAUGCCUACACAGUUGGUAGACACCCCUCAAUUAAGGAUGGCCUUGGCUUCAAGAGGGAAGCCAAGAACUUGACAAGUCAUAAGGCUCCCAUCUCCAUCAAGGAGAAAGGGAAGGCCCCUAUGGCUAGUAGUGCUCAAAAGAACCAUGCCUUCAUGUAUCAUGAUAGGAGACAUUCUAGAAAUGUUUAUAGAAGUUAUGAUGCUUUUAAUUCUCAUACCAUGGUUGCUUCUAGUUCUUCUAUUAUGCAUGAUAGAAAUUUAGCUAGGAGAAAUGUUAUUAAUCACAUGCCUAGAAGAAAUGUUGUUCAUGUUUCUAGGAAAAUAAUAAAUGAACCUUCUACAAUUUAUCAUGCUUGCAAUGCUUCAUUCGAAAUUUGUAGAAAGGAUAGAAAAGUGAUUGCUAGGAAACUAGGGGCAAAAUGCAAGGGUGAUAAAACUUGCAUUUGGGUCCCUAAGGAUAUUGUCACUAACCUUGUAGGACCCAACAAGAGUUGGGUACCUAAGACCCAAGUCUAAAUUUGCCUUGCAGGUUUAUGCAUCCGGGGGAUCAAGCUGGAUUAUCGACAGCGGAUGCACAAACCACAUGACGGGGGAGAAGAAGAUGUUUACCUCCUACGUCAAGAACAAGGAUUCCCAAGAUUAAAUAAUAUUUGGUGAUGGGAAUCAAGGCAAGGUGAAAGGGUUAGGGAAAAUUGCUAUUUCAUCUGAGCACUCUAUUUCUAAUGUGUUUUUAGUUGAGUCGCUUGGAUAUAAUUUGUUAUCUGUUAGUCAAUUAUGCAGUAUGGGAUAUAAUUGUCUAUUCACAAAUGUAGAUGUGUCUGUCUUUAGAAGAAGGUGAUGGUUCAUUAGCUUUUAAGGGUGUAUUAGACGACAAACUCUAUUUAGUUGAUUUUGCAAAAGAGGAGGCCGGUCUAGAUGCAUGCUUAAUUGCUAAGACUAGCAUGGGCUGGCUGUGGCAUCGCCGCUUAGCACAUGUGGGGAUGAAGAACUUUCACAAGCUUCUAAAGGGAGAACACGUGAUAGGUCUAACUAAUGUUACCUUCGAAAAAGAUAGACCUUAUGCAGCUUGUCAAGCAGGGAAACAAGUGGGAAGCUCUCAUCAUGCCAAAAAUGUGAUGACAACAUCAAGACCCCUGGAGUUACUUCAUAUGGACCUCUUCGGACCCGUCGCCGAUCUAAGCAUAGGAGGAAGUAAGUAUGGUCUUGUUAUAGUUGAUGAUUUUUCCCGCUUCACUUGGGUAUUCUUUUUGCAGGAUAAAUCUGAAACCCAAGGGACCCUCAAGCGCUUCCUAAGGAGAGCUCAAAACGAGUUUGAGCUCAAGGUGAAGAAGAUCAGAAGCGACAAUGGGUCCGAGUUCAAGAACCUUCAAGUGGAGGAGUAUCUUGAGGAGGAAGGAAUCAAGCACGAGUUCUCCGCUCCCUACACACCACAGCAAAAUGGUGUGGUAGAGAGGAAGAACAGGACACUUAUAGACAUGGUGAGGACGAUGCUUGGAGAGUUCAAGACACCCGAGCGCUUUUGGGCGGAAGCCAUGAACACGGCUUGCCACGCCAUCAACCGGGUCUACCUUCAUCGCCUCCUCAAGAAGACUUCGUAUGAGCUACUAACCGGUAACAAACCCAAUGUUUCGUAUUUCCGAGUUUUUGGGAGUAAAUGCUACAUUCUAGUGAAGAAGGGUAGGAAUUCCAAAUUUGCUCCCAAAGCAGUAGAAGGGUUUUUGUUAGGUUAUGACUCAAAUACAAAGGCGUAUAGGGUCUUCAACAAAUCAUCGGGUUUGGUUGAAGUCUCUAGCGACGUUGUAUUUGAUGAGACUAAUGGCUCUCCAAGAGAGCAAGUUGUUGAUCUUGAUGAUGUAGAUGAAGAAGACGUUCCAACGGCCGCAAUGCGCACCAUGGCGAUUGGAGAUGUGAGGCCAAUGGAACAAAAGGAGCAAGAUCAACCUUCUUCCUCAACAACAGUGCAUCCCCCAACUCAAGAAGAUGAACAGGUUCAUCAAGAGGAGGCGUGUGAUCAAGGGGGAGCACAAGAUGUUCAUGUGAUAGAGGAAGAAGCGCAACCGGCACCUCCAACUCAAGUUCGAGCGACGAUUCAAAGGGUAGAAGAGGCCUUGCUAGAUCCGGACUGGGUGUUGGCCAUGCAAGAGGAGCUCAACAACUUCAAGAGAAAUUAAGUUUGGACACUGGUGCCUCGUCCCAAGCAAAAUGUUGUGGGAACAAAGUGGGUGUUCCGCAACAAACAAGACGAGCACGGAGUGGUGACAAGGAACAAGGCACGACUUGUGGCAAAAGGUUAUGCCCAAGUCGCAGGUUUGGACUUUGAGGAGACUUUUGCUCCUGUGGCUAGGCUAGAGUCCAUUCGUAUAUUGCUAGCGUAUGCCGCUCACCAUUCUUUCAGGCUGUUCCAAAUGGAUGUGAAGAGCGCUUUCCUCAACGGGCCAAUCAAGGAGGAGGUGUACGUGGAGCAACCCCUGGCUUUGAGGAUGAACGGUACCCCGACCACGUAUAUAAGCUCUCUAAGGCGCUCUAUGGACUUAAGCAAGCCCCAAGAGCAUGGUAUGAAUGCCUUAGAGACUUUUUAAUUGCUAAUGCUUUCAAGGUUGGGAAAGCCGAUCCAACUCUUUUUACUAAGACUUGUGAUGGUGAUCUUUUUGUGUGCCAAAUUUAUGUCGAUGACAUAAUAUUUGGUUCUACUAACCAAAAGUCUUGUGAAGAGUUUAGCAGAGUGAUGACUCAAAAGUUUGAGAUGUCAAUGAUGGGCGAGUUAAGCUACUUCCUUGGGUUCCAAGUGAAACAACUCAAGGAUGGGACCUUCAUCUCACAAUCGAAGUACACGCAAGACUUGAUCAAGCGAUUUGGGAUGAAGGAUGCCAAGCCCGCAAAGACUCCAAUGGGAACCGACGGACACACCGACCUCUACAAAGGAGGUAAGUCCGUUGAUCAAAAGGCAUACCGGUCUAUGAUAGGGUCUUUACUUUAUUUAUGUGCUAGUAGACUGGAUAUUAUGCUUAGUGUAUGCAUGUGUGCUAGAUUUCAAUCCGAUCCAAGGGAUUGUCACUUAGUGGCUGUGAAGCGAAUUCUUAGAUAUUUAGUCGCUACGCCUUGCUUCGGGAUCUAGUAUCCAAAGGGGUCUACCUUUGACUUGAUUGGAUAUUUAGACCCCGACUAUGCUGGAUGUAAGGUCGAUAGGAAGAGUACAUCGGGGACGUGCCAAUUCUUAGGAAGGUCCCUGGUGUCGUGGAGUUCAAAGAAACAAACUUCUGUUGCCCUAUCCACCGCUGAGGCCGAGUACGUUGCCGCAGGACAGUGUUGCGCGCAACUACUUUGGAUGAGGCAAACCCUCAGGGACUUUGGCUACAAUUUGUGCAAAGUCCCACUCCUAUGUGAUAAUGAGAGUGCUAUCCGCAUGGCGGAUAAUCCUGUUGAACAUAGCCGCACAAAGCACAUAGACAUCCGGCAUCACUUUUUGAGAGACAACCAGCAAAAGGGAGAUAUCGAAGUGUUUCAUGUUAGCACCGAGAACCAGCUAGCCGAUAUCUUUACCAAGCCUCUAGAUGAGAAGACCUUUUGCAGGUUGCAUAGUGAGCUAAAUGUCUUAGAUUCGCGGAACUUGGAUUGAUGUGUAGCAUACAUGUGUUUUAUGCCUUGAUCAUGUUCCUUAAUGCAUUUUGUUGAUUAAUUAUGGUGCUCAAGUUGUACAAGCACUCCCCGGACCUCACAAGUCCAUUUGCAAGUGAUGCACAUAUUUAGGGGGAGUUGUGCUACAACUUGACCCUUUGAGACUAACUGUGUGCUUGAGUUUGCUUAAUUUAGUCUCAAAGGAGGUUGAAAGGGAAAAGGUGGACUUGGACCAUGCAAGACCUCCACUGCACUCCGAUGAAAGAGUAACUGAUUCCAAGUUCAUCUUUGUACUCUUAUUGCCUUUUUUACUCUUAGUUGAAGAUUUUGGUGAGGCAAUGGGGUUAAAGGGCCAAAAUUGAUCCCGUUUUGGUGCUUGAUGCCAAAGGGGGAGAAAAUAAGGCCAAAGCAAGGAAAUGGAUCAGCUACCACUUGAGAAUUUUGAAAAAGAAGAGUUAGAGUUUUUGUUUGUCAAAAUACUCCUGUUUGUCUCUUAUUGUCAAAAGUUGGUCUCUUGUGGGGGAGAAGGCUUAAUUAUGGGAAAAAGGGGGAGUUUUUGAACUCUUUGAUGAAUUUCUCUUGAAAUAUCUCUCUUUAUGUUUCAACAAGUGUGUUUAGAAAUUGAGUUUGAUUUGCAAAAACAAACCAAGUGGUGGCAAAGAAUGAUCCAUAUAUGUCAAAUCUGAAUCAAAACAAUUUUGAGUUCUUAGUUGAAUUGAUUUUGCACUUGUUCUACUUACUUUAUGUUGUGUUGGCAUAAAUCACCAAAAAGGGGGAGAUUGAAAGGGAAAUGUGCCCUUAGGCCAUUUCUAAGUAUUUUGGUGAUUUAGUGUCCAACACAAGUGCCUAAGUGUUAAAUGGUGGACAAAGUACAAAUCGAGUAUAAAGGUAUGUUUCUUAGACUUAGUACAUUGUUUUAGAGACUAAUGUAUUAUGUCUAAGUGCUGGAAACAGGAUAAUCAAGUUGAAACUAAAGAUGGCUUUGUUCAGCCAAAGUCAACUCUGUCUGGGUGCACCGGACUGUCCGGUGGUGCACCGGACAGUGUCCGGUGCGCCAGGCUAGCUCAGGCAAACUUGCUGCUCUCGGGAAGUGAUUAACGGCGUACGACUAUAAUUCACCGGACUGUACGGUGUGCACCGGACUGUCCGGUGAGCCAACGGUCGGCCGGGCCAACGGUCGGCCGCGCGAUUCGCGCGAGACACGUGGCCGAGCCAACGGUUAGAAGGGGGCACCGGACUGUCCGGUGUGCACCGGACAGUGUCCGGUGCGCCAACGGCUCUCAAGUGCCAACGGUCGGCUUCGCCGAAGAAGGAAAGAAAUCCGCACCGGACAGUGUCCGGUGCGCCAGGCGACAGAAGGCAAGAAUUGCCUUCUUGAAUUGCUCUCAACGGCUCCUAGCUGCCUUGGGGCUAUAAAAGGGACCCCUAGGCGCAUGGAGGAGAACACCAAGCAUUCUCUAAGCAUUCCUAAGCACCAAGACUUCGAUUCCGCGCAUUUGAUUCUUUGUGAUAGCAAUUGGAGCUCUAUUUGAGUUGUGAACUCAUCGAGUUGUGUUGUGAGCUCUUGUUGCGACUUGUGUGCGUGUUGUCGCUCUAAUUUUGUGUCUUGUGUGCGUUGCUCAUCCCUUCCUUACUCCGUGCUUCUUUGUGAACAUCAAAGUGUAAGGGCGAGAGACUCCAAGUUGUGGAGAUUCCUCGCAAGUGGGAUAUAGUAAAGUGAAAGCAAAACACCGUGGUAUUCAAGUGGGUCUUUGGACCGCUUGAAAGGGGUUGAUUGCAACCCUCGUCCAUUGGGACGCCACAACGUGGAGUAGGCAAGUGUUGGACUUGGCCGAACCACGGGAUAAACCACUGUGCCACCUCUGUGUUGAUCUCUUUGUGGUUAUCGUGUUGUGCAAGCUCUCUUCUCUAGCCACUUGGCUUAAUUGUGCUAACUCCAAAUCAAGUUUUGUGGAUUAAGUUUCAAGUUUUCACAGGAUCACCUAUUCACCCCCUCUAGGUGCUCUCAAAGCCGGGCUGCGGCUUCCCUCCUGCCCUCAGCUUCAAGGAUGUUCAUCAUCCUCGCUGGGGCGGAAGGCGCGUCGAGCCGGGGUUCUGCCUCCCGUGUGGGCCAGCGGCCCGCUUCUUCCUCCAACAUUUGGGGGAGGAGAGGGGUUCAACAGCCACGCGAAGGAGGCGAACUUCGGCUAUGCGGGGCCGGCCAUGUGCAGGCGCUGACAGCUGCCGCGUGCCUGGCUCUUGGCCUGGGUGGCCCUGUCGCCGCCUCCGACGCUGCCUCCUGCCGUUUGGUCGGGGCGUGGCUGUCCGUCCACCACACGGGCGACCGUCGCGCCGUGCGCGGGUCCGCCACAUCCACGGCUUCUCCCGCGCCGCCGGCCAUACGGGGGGACCGUCCAAGACGCCGUACGUUGCGAGAGUGGUGGUGGCGUUCUUGGAUGGUCUUGUCCUCACUCCGUGGGAGGACGGGAGCGAGGACCUCUUAUGCGGAGGUGGCCGUGGUCGUCGGUGCUGAGGCGGUGGCUGCCGCUGGUGAGGCUGCCCCUUGCAGAGGUGGUUGCCUCCUCUAUCGAGACCAUCAGGGCCACCUGCCACUGAGUCCUUGACUCUUUGGCUUUAAUGGCCUCGUUAUCGCCCCCUAUAGGAGGACGGGGGCGAGGACCUUUCACAGCCGCGCUCACCCUGAGGUGGUCGCUGCUGCUGGCAUACCGCCCAAAGCGGAGGUCGUUGUCGCUGCUGAUGCAGAGGUGGUCGCUGUUGCCGGCGAUCCGUCGAUGCAGAGGUGGUCGCCGCCGCUGGUGAGGCAGCCCGGAGCCAGCUUCCAGCGCGACUCUUGUUGGUGCAGCGUAGUCCAUUCCUGCAGAGAUGGAGCUGGGUCCCGUUUGUAAGGGAAUGUAAUAACAUUUGCUUGAAAGCAAAAUGUAAUAACAUAUGUAUGCAGGAUUUUAGCCUGGGAAACCAAGUUGUGUGUCCGAACCCCCUAGAUGGUGGCUUCAUGUACCAAGACACCUGUCGCAGGGCGGUGGAGUAUGCAGGCUCACGGCACGGGACCAGGCUGAGUGGAUACAUGGCUUCCGGACCCCCCAGGAGACAAGUGUUUGUUCUUCAAAACCGGACCUCCAGUUCGUUGGACGCACAGGACUAUAGUUUUAAAUACUAGAACACCUGUCAUGGAGUGGUGGAGUGUGCAGGGUUUUGGGUACGGAACCAGGCUAACCGGCCACAUAGGCUCUGGACCACCCUAUGGAACAGGCAUCCGUUCCUUAGAACCGACCCCUAGGCCUUCCCCUGUUUUUGUAAAGUAAUAGAUAAUAUCUAUUAAGCAGUAUUUAACACUUAUCUGUGUGUUGCUCGAUCCUGUUGUUAACUUCCCUUGGUACCUGGCCCCCCGCCUGGGGUACAGGCUCGAUGUGUCGAGGCUAGACACCAGCGCGUAUAAAAGAGUUGUCAACGUCCUUCGGGAGGCAGCCUCACCGAGACCUGGAUCUAUACAUAGCUUUAGCUGAAAAGUGUUAGUGAUACACCCGUAGACCCCGUCAUCUGGCAUUUUUCAUCCUUUGAUACAUGCUCGGUAUUUGCAGUGUUUUGGCUAGGGGAAGCAAGUUGUGUGUCCGGACCCCCUGGAUGGUGGUUCUAGAUACUAGGACGCUUGUCACAGAGUGGUAGAACAUGCAGGCCCACGGUACGGGACCAGGCUGAGCGGCUACAUGGUUCCGGACCACCCCAGGAGACAAGCGUCUCUUCUCUAGUUUCAGACCCCAAGUUGUCGGACCCACAGGACUUAUAGCUCUAAGUACAAGGGUGCUCAUCACGGAGUGUUGGAGUGUGCAAGGUUUUGGGUACGGAACCAGGCUAACCGGCCGCACAGGCUCCGGACCACCCCAUGAAACGAGCACUCGUUCCUCAGAGCCGGCCCCCAGACUGUCGGGUCCCCCCUGCUUUCACAUAGAGGUCCUAAACUACAACUCUGGCUGUUCAAUCCAGAUGUCAUUAUGCCUGGUGGGAUGGGAGCAGGGCAGGUGGGUUAGAUAAAACACUAUCAGAAACUGCAGGGUGAGACCGUGGAGCAGUAGGAAAUUGCUAUCAUAGAGGCAUAUCUUGAGAGGGUAGUUUUCCUUUAUAGCUAAUCAUGCAUGGGUGCAGGCCAACAGGCCGGGUUUAUGGGGCACACCCUACCGGGUUGGCACACCCGUGUGCACUACCUAGUUACAAAAAGGGAAAAACUUUGACCCCUUAGACUUGCUCUAUAGAUAAAACUUACAGAGAUAUUUUGACAUUGGGGGAGGCAUUCCUUCAGUCGUAGCUAGACAGUUGCCCUUGGGUCGGGGUACUCACAUUACCAUGAAGGGUCCUUCCCAGCUGGGGGAGUGUUACGGAGCCCUAAUUUGGUCUGGUACCUUUGUAGGAUUAGGUCCCGACCCUGGGUUCCCAUCUGCAUUUGACGAAGGAGGCCCCGCCUUUGGCUGUGGUCAUUCCUGGAUGAACCUAUCAGAAAGCUGGACCCGUGGGGAAUCCAGAUGGGUUUCUGGAGGAAGGUUGUCACACCCGGUUUUGGAAGGCAAACCGAAUGCGAACUAUGUACGUGCCAGGAUCAGAAUUCACGUACACAGCGAUUACAUAAAUGAACAUCAUCGCACAGUGCUCGAAUAAAAACAUGAAAGGGUAUUAACUUAUUACAUCACAGAGUCAUAGACAUCCACAUAGUCAUCAACUUAACAGUUAAAUCAAAGUGCUAGCGAAACACAGUAAAGAUAAGGCCUUCACAGGCAGCUGACUGGGGGUUGCCGCCAACCCACACCUAGAAUUCGUCGUAGUCUUGAAACUCCUGGAAGUCUCCUUCCACGACUUCGUCUUCUCCUGAGCAGUGGUUGCAAUGUGGACAACCUGGUGUUUGGUGGUAAAGCAAGGAUGAGUACACAUCAACGUACUCAGCAAAUGUCCCGUUUGGCUGAAGUGGACUAGCUUUAUGUGGGGCUAGGCUCAAGCAGUUGCUUUUAGUUGGUCAGGUAUUUAUUAUUAGUAGGAGCCAGGUUUUAUCAUAAAACCCAAGUUAUAAUCCCAAAAAGUACUUCCUCAGAGAAGAAAUACUAGAAAACAUAAUUAAAGUCACCAUCUGAAGUGUAUCCGGAGUAUCUCUAAUCAAAGAGGAUCCCAAGGCUGCUCUUAACCGUGAGCACGGCUGAUAUACUAGUUUCACUACCCUCUGCAGAGGUCGCACACUUUACCCAUGAGCCGUGAUUCCCUCUCUAGCCCGGGCUUGCAAGACCCUUAUUCACUCCCAAGGUGAAUGGCCAGGGAUUCACUACGAAGCCUUUACAAAGAUUCCCUAGAGGUCAUAGCUGCCCGUUAGGUUUCUCCAGUUUGAUAAACACAGUACCUCUCCCCGCAGGAAGGUGACUAAAAAGCAAAACGAAAGAACCUCGGCACUCAGCCUCGGUAGAGCAAGCACUGUGCCUGGACCCCAUUGACGGCACGACGGCGAAGCAACUACACUUCUAGUUCCUCUAAUUAAUUAGCUAAGGGCACCCCAUUCCACCCUCAUGGUUGCACUGUUAUCCCGGGUGGUCUCUCAACGAACAGGUCCUUAUGGAGAGGUACUCGAGAAACUGCUCGAGUCCCCUAAAUGCCACAAGUACAUCAUCAUAUCCAGAAUAAAAUCAUAGUAUCAUCAUUGUAUCUCAUAAUGUUCAUUGAUUAAAGUAAAGCGCUAGCAUGUAGCUAACCAUAGUAACCCAAAAGGUAAAUCAAGGACAAGGUGAAUAGAAAGCUAGUAAAUCCUUAGGUUUCAAUUAAGUAAUGCGGGAUAGUGAAUUAUAAGUGAAUAGGACAUAAUGGGUCAGAGGACACUUGCCUUCACCAAAUAGAUGCUCAGGGUCUUCAACCUUGCAGAACUCGAAGAACCAGGUCACUUGGUCACCGAAGCUUGACCGUCGAUUCCUCGAAGCUCGAAAACGGAUCAUAAUCUAAUCGCAACGCGAAGCGAAGACAAACAGGCACAAGCAAACAAACAUAUAUAUGCAUAAGAACGUUACACCAUGCCAAAGAGAACAUAAUAAAAACAUGCAAUACGAAAUAGAGCUCGCUACUACGGUCACGCAAGGAAAAGAACACGAUAGUCUGAGCUAUGGUCGAGAGGUUAUGACGUUUACGCUACGCUAGUAAUAGUCAGGACAUUUAAUUCGACAUUUUCAAAUAUAACUUAUAACUGUCAUUUAGUUUUGAUUAAAUUUAUUACACUAAUAGCUGUCAAAUAAGUAAGUAAUAUAGUUAGCACGAGAGAUUUUAAGCGAGGUGAGUUUACGAUGCAGGAAAAAGCAUGACAUAGCACGCUGACAACACACCAAACGAUGCGCGCGACCAGCGUGAACGACGCGCGAACCAGCACGCCACCACGAGCACAUUACGCGUGAACAGCGUGCAGACAGUGCGACGAUGUGUGAUACUCGCUAACAUAUAACGAGACUAUACUAACCAAGUAUUAAAUGAAAAGUGUUUAAGUUGGUGUUCAUCAAGUUAACAUUUAUCUAUAAAAUCGUGAGUUAGAAAUUAUAAACUAGUUUUAAUUAGAAGACCAUUUUUAAUAAGUAUUGAAUGAACAAAUAAUUAAAUAAUUAAAUAAUUAAAACUUGUGACAUGAUAAAAUACAUUACUAAUACGAAAUCGACGCGACUGAACAAUUAAUUUAGAACAAACACGUUAUGCCGCAGCGAAUCGAUAUCAUGUCUACACUAACCAAACAUAAAUGGUAGACUAACCAAACAUGAAUGAAAACGCUUCGGAUUGAUACAACUACCUUAAUAGAUAUUAACGAAGCGUAGAAUUAAAAUUACAAAUUUGUUUUCGGUUGAAUUGUUAUUUUAAUAACCGACCACUAAACAACUAAUUACUAAUUAAUAAUUUAACAUGCAUGAAGUGGCGAAAUGAUUUUACUAAAACGCGCAACUAGCGAUUUGCGUGAAAGACGGCACGAGCGAAACAUACGAGAAAUACUAAAUAGAGAGUGUGUUUAUACUAAAGAAGUAUUAUUUCGAAAACAUUCUAUUAGACGUAAUUAUAUUAACAUGUAUUUAUAAAGUGAAUCUAAACUAUAAAUGAGUUCAAUUAAUUGCUACUUUAAUAAUUGUCAGAUAAAUAGAUGACCAAUUAAUUAACAUUAGAAAGUGCAUGAUGAUAAAGUAAUGUUACCUAAUACAUCGUUAAUAUAGCUCUACGAAGCUAACACAAAAGAAAUAAGUCGAAACGGAUUUACAACACAAAUAUAUUGGAUAUUUAAUGGUUCGCGGAAUCUAAACGAUGUGGCACGCAACAGCGCGCGCAAACCGCACGUGAACAGUAACAAUGACACAUGCGGAUAGCACAAGCAGUCCGUGCGACAACUCGCGGGCAGUGCACGGGCAACAGCGCAAGACGCGAACUCGCAAACGCUACAAAGAUGCGACGACGUGCGCGAACAACACGACAAGCGGGAAAUCAUUAACAGAUAUCGUGCUUAGAAUGAACACAUAUUAAACAAAUAUAAACAUUUAAUUUGGCUUAAAUCAUGUUAACGUCCAUUUACACGUGCGCAAAUUAAAACUAUACAUUAGUUUUAAUUAGAUCUCUACUUUAACAUCCAUCAGAUAAACAAACAAACAAUUAAUUAGUUAAAACACUUGUCACGAUAAAAUAAUAUUAUUAACUCGCCGGUAACGUUAUUACAAAGCUAAUGCAAGUUGAACAAAGGGAAUCGAAUUUUAUAACGCAACAUAUAUUAAUUAUUUAGUACUUCACUGAUUUUAAACGACGUGGCUAAUUAUUAUUGGUUAGAGGCUGGCCACACCUAUGGUCACACGAAACACAGCCAUAGAGGAUCCCAAGCUUAGGAUCACAUGUGGCUAGCUUCUUCUCUGUUGUAACCGCACAACGCAGAACGCACGACGGUUCUUCUUCCUUGGAGUUUGGACAGGAAAACUGGCAUGGGGAAGAGGGAAGGAGGGGCCAGCUGAGGCCUCACCGGCCAGCUAGCCAGGCCGCCGCGGGGUAGAGGGAGUUGGGUCUGGCCGCUAGCCGGGCCACGCCGCGGCUGCCAGGUUGGGGCGCCGGGCGAGGGCGCUGAUGGACGGACGGCUGGUCGCGGUGCGCGGCGGCUCGCCGGGGCUGCUGGUCGCCACGCCGGGCAAGCCGUGCCUGUUGCUGCGCGCGCUGGCCGCUGCGCUGGGUGAGCCACCGGCUGGCCGCGCCGAGGACGAGGCCAGGCUCGCGCGCCAGCCUAGGGAGCUCGUCGGGGAAGGGCCUCAGCCAUGGCUACGGCACGGCGGCGUACCGCGAGCAGGGCCCGAGGGGCUCCCCGCCGGGGCCAGGGAGAGGGAUGGGAGAAGAACGCGUGGGGAGGGAGAGGAAGAAGGAUCCGUGAGUACCUGGUAACAGUCGCCCUUCACGCCUGCGAUCUGGAUCUGGGGAAACGAUCUGGAUCUGGGGGAAGUCAGGAGGUUUUGCGAUGGCUAGAGUAGUAUUUGUAGAAAAGAGAGGAUGUGGAAGGCGGUUGUAAAAUUUGUCGCAGGUUGCGUCCUGGCCGAGCCAAAGCGACGAUCGCGCGAUGAGUUGCACGAUACAGUAAACGACGGAGACCGAGUUAGGCAGAGGUAGGCGAUGGUAGAUGAAAUAAAGGGGUAACAGGUGUGCGAGCAGCAAACGUUCACGAGGAGGAAAUCCGGUUUGACGACCUCGCGAAAAUGACACAAAUCAUAGAACGAGUUCGACGAGAGGAACACAUAUAUAUAAUCGAGUUUUCCAAGAUUUUUUUGUAGUUUUCGCAAAUACUAAAUUUUAGGUAUUUAAUUAUUAUUAGAAAAACUAAAAUUCAUAUUUUAGUACUUGAAGAAACGUUUUGAAGGUUCCCGAAAAAAAUCUGAAAACAUGGUCAAGAUAAUUCGAUACAGUUCGAAAAACUUUUCACUCAUAAACAUUAUGUAACAACAUGAAUGCAACAAUCAAAGUUUCUCCAGGAUUUUGUUUUACUACGCCAAAAACUCAUAUAUAUAUAUAUAUAUAAUAAAAUAACUAUCCAUCAUUUAGAAAAAGAGAAGAAAGCAGGUAAAGAAGAGGGUAACACCUGAAUUUGGUGAAUAUUAGAAAAGAAAUUUUAUACCCCAAAUUCAGGGUGUUACAAAUCUAACCCCCUUAACAGAAUCUCGCCCUCGAGAUUCAAGAAGAAGAUAGCAAGAAGAGAAAAAAAAUGAGGUUGGUUCAUCGAUUGUCCAAAGUUUCUUCCGUUCAACAUUGACUCUACCAGCUUAUCUUGCAGACUGGUUGCUUUGACCUUCAGGAGCUCGAGACCAAUUGAUAACAUUCUUGAGGAUCCCUUGGACCUGUGGGUUAGGACCCACGCACGCUUUUGAUGCGCCACUUCAAUCUUGUUGGUUGAUGUUGAUCGCAUUGUCUUCAUCGGGGUUAGCGGCUAACCCCCUUAAUAGGAGCAUUGAUAUGCACUUGGUGAAGAUGCUGCCGACUCUGAUCUUGACUAAUUAAGAGAGGUUGUAGGAUGCCAACUGGACAGGUGCAAGAGGGAAGGGUAUAGAUAGAAAAUGUAAGCAUAGAUGAAUUAAAGAGAGAAAAGGGAGAGCACCCAGCUACCUAACUCUAUGGCACUCAGCUAGUGAACUGAUGUCAUUGCGGACCAAGGGCCACAACACAUCCACAAUCAUCACAAAGAAGCAAAUCAAUCUUCACACAAAGACAAACAACACAAGCACACCUCAACAGGCAUCUCGUUGCUACACGUUAAUGUUAACUAGAUGGUGGUCUUUCCUUACAAAGGGAAAACUACUCUAAGGCCAUCGAAAGGCAAGGGGAAUACUAAGACAUGCAGGAUAGGGGCAUGAGCAUAAUAAAGGAUGGAGCAAGGAUUGUAUCCGACAGGGAGAGAAUGCAACCAAGGACAGGGUAGGUAAAACACCAUUCUCGAGUUGAGAUGGAAAAGAUGAUAUUUCAAAUGGUAGGAAUGAUAUAAGCAUCAUGGAAAGAAUCUAGAUAUUAGGAAGGUGAGGGUGAUAUCGAGCAAAAGCUAAGACAUGCAACGCGAUAGAGGAAAAGGGAACGAACAAUAGCAGGAUGGGUAAGACAUCACUCUUGAAAUGAAAUGGGAGAGGUGACUUUAUGUCACACCCGGUUUUUAGAAGGCAAACCGAAUGCGAACCAUGUACGUGCCAGGAUCAGUUAUUCACGUACACAGCAGUUACAUAAUAUGGACAUCAUCACACAGUGCUCAAAAUAGUAUUAAAAGGGGAAACAAUAGUCGAUUACAUCAUACGUCUGAGACGUCCAUAUAGUUCUUACAAUAAAUCAAAGUGCGGAAAAGAAACGUAGAUAACGCGGCCUUCACAGGCAGCCGACUGGGGGUUGCCGCUAACCCACACCUAGAACUCGUCGUAAUCUUGGAACUCCUGGAAGUCUCCUUCCACAGCUUCAUCUUCGCCUGAGCAGUGGUUGCAAUGCUGACAACCUGGGGGGGGGUUUGGUGUGUAGAGCAAGGGUGAGUACACAUCAACAUACUCAGCAAGUAUCCUGUUUGGCUGUAGUGGACUAGCUUUAUGUGGGGAUAAGUCAAGCAGUUGCUUUUAGUUGGUCAGGUUAUUACUUACUAGUAGAAAGCCAGGUUUUAACAUUAACCCAAGUUAUUAGCCCAAUGUAUCCUUUCCAAACGGAAAGAAUACCACUUACCAGCACCAUAAUCAUAACCAGAUUCAACAGUCUCAUAACCACCUGUACCACAAUAUCUCUGAUCAAGUACCACUAAUCAUUGGAGCUCCCUUGGCCGCUCAUAACCGCGAGCACGGCUGAUAUAUCAGUUUCAUAACACUCUGCAGAGGUUGUGCACUUUACCCACAAGCCGUGAUUCCCAUUCUGCCCGGAGAUCAUGACUCUCCAUUGAUCACUACCAAGGUGAUCCAGCAGGGCAUCACUACGAAGCCUUUACAAAGAUUCCCCGGGGCUGUAGCCACCCGUUAGGUUUCCUAAAUGCACCGCACUCCUCCCCAAGGGGCGAACCCAAACUUGGCAGAGCGAGCCGCAUACACCGAGCCCCAUUGACGGCACGACGGCUAAGUGAACUACACCCCGGAUCCUCUAAUUAUUCAGCUAAGGGCACCCCAUUCCACCCUCAUGGUUGCACUGUUUUCCCGGGCGGUCAUCCAUAGAACAGGUCCUUACGGAGAGGCACUCGAGAAACCGCUCGAGUCCCCUUGAAAACCACAAGUAUAAUCAUAAAGAAGAGCGGGAAAACAGCGUAUCAUAGAUAAUCACAUCAUGUUCAUUGAUUAGAGUUGAGCAAUAGCAUCAGACUAAGUAGUAAUAAUCCGACCCAAAUAGGUAAACAAGGACAUGGAUAACAAAAGCUAGUCAAUCCUUAGGUAUAAAUGUGUAAAGCGGGAGGUGAAUUAAAGAAUGAAUAGGACAUAGAUAGGUCAAAGGACACUUGCCUCCACCAAACGACUGCUGCUCAGGGGCUUCUCCUGCGAAUUCCUCGGGCUCUUCGACCGGAUCGUUCUCUAUGCGAGCGCAAACAUACAUACAUACAUCCACAUAUUUAAUACAAAAGAACAGUACACCAUACAAGAUAACAAAUAAAGCGAAUAUGCAUCAAGUAUGACAUUCGAUAACGCAUUUGUUAUGGUUAGAAAGAAACGGGAAAGGUCUCGCAGGGGGGGUUAAAUCUUAUGCACUAAUGACACAAUUGGUUUUUAACAAAAGAAUUCUGUUACAUAUACACUAAUGGAAACCUAAUCACUUUUAGUUGAUCAACAUUGCACAGGGUAAACAAUUAACUACGUGCAUCAAUAGCAUAACGGAAUUUUAAAUUAAACUUCCUAUUUUCCCAUAGCAUGAACAGUGAUUAGCCUACUUAAAAUACAGUAAUUAUGAUUACAGAAAGUAAAUAAAAUAAAAUAAAAAAAAUAAAAAAAAAACAGAAGGGGGGGGGCGGUUGAACCGGCCCUAGGGCGGUUGAACCGGCCCUAGGCGGGGCGCGGGAGCGGGCGGCUGAACCGGCGGGGCAGGGGGCGGCGCAGGGGGCGGCCGAGCCGGGGGGCGGGGCGGCCGAACCGGCGGGCAGGGAGGCGGCGCAGGGGGCGGCCGAGCCGGGGGGCGGGGCGGCCGAACCGGCGGGCAGGGAGGCGGCGCAGGGGGCGGCCGAGCCGGGGGCGGGGCGGCCGAACCGGCGGGCAGGGAGGCGGCCGAACCGGCCAUGGGGAAAGGGGAGAGGGGAUGGGGGAGGGAGGAGAGGGGGAGGGGGAGCUCACCGGGGAGGGGCGCGACGGCGAGGGGCGGCCGGCGGCAGGGGCGGCCGAGGGCGGCGGCUGGGCAGGGGGCGGCGGCGGCUUAGGGCAGGGGUAGGGGCGGCGGCUUAGGGAGAGGGAGAGAAAAUGAGAGAAAAUGAGAGGGAGAGGGAGAGGGUUUGGGGAAAAAGGGGAGGUGGGGGGGCGGUUGGGCCUAUUGGGCCCAGGGGGGGGCGCGCAGGGGCGGCUGGGCCGGCCGGGGUCGGCCCACGGCGCGGGAGAGAGAGAAAAAAAAGGAAGAGAGAGAGAAAAGAGAAAGAAAAGAGAAAGAAAACAUUUUCGAAAUCCGAUUCUUCUACAUGAAUGCAUUUGCACUUUCAAAGCAAUCAAAGGAAAUGCAAGGUUCGGCAUGGUGCAUCGAGCAACAUAAAGCAUUUAGGGUUUUUCUUACACGGGAAAUCCAAACCGAAUCCCGCUAGAACUUUGGAAAAGGUCAAGGUUUAGCGAGGGAAAAAGAAAAGGAAAGGUAACGCCCGAAUUUUGGCGAGUAAAGAAAAGAAAAAAAUUCAACUGCAAAAUUCGGGGCGUUACAAACCUAUCCCCCUUAAAAGAAUCUCGCCCUCGAGAUUCAGGGCUGGCUAGCAAAGAGCUCCGGGUACUUGGCCAUCAGAUCAUCUUCACGCUCCCAAGUUGCUUCUUCCUCAGAGUGGUGACUCCAUCUGACUUUGCACAUCCUGACGGUCUUCCUUCGGGUGACUCUAUCUGCAACCUCAAGGAUCUGAGCUGGCUUCUCAACGUAGGUCAAGUCCUCCUGGACUUCAAGACCUUCCACUGGCAACUGCUCUUCUGGCAUACGCAAGCACUUCUUCAACUGAGACACAUGAAAGACAUCAUGCACAGCAGACAAAUUCUCUGGCAAACUGAGCUGAUAAGCCACUUCUCCACGUCUUGCAAGAAUCUGAUACGGACCAAUGUAGCGGGGUGCUAGCUUGCCUUUCACUCCGAAUCUUCUGACUCCUCUGAUCGGUGACACUUUCAGAUAGACAAAGUCUCCGACUUCGAAACUCAGCUCUCUUCUUCUUGUGUCUGCAUAGCUUCGCUGCCUUGAUUGCGCUAUCUUCAGAUUCUCUCGGACCAUCUUGAUGUUCUCUUCGGCUUCAAGCAAAAUGUCUGGCCCAAACACUUGCUUCUCUCCAGGCUGAUCCCAUUGCAACGGAGUUCUACAACUCCUUCCAUAGAGCGCCUGAAAUGGUGACAUCUUCAAACUGGCCUGAUAACUGUUGUUAUAGGAAAACUCUGCAUAAGGCAAUCGCUUGUCCCAUCCGGACUGAUCUUGCAACGCACAGGCUCUCAACAUAUCUUCAAGAAUUUGAUUGGUUCUUUCAGUCUGACCAUCUGUCUGCGGGUGAUAAGCUGAACUGAAAUUCAGAUGCGUGCCCAAGGCUUCAUGCAACUGCUGCCAGAAAUGAGAGGUGAACUGCGUUCCUCUGUCUGACACUAUCUUCUUUGGCACACCAUGAAGACAAACGAUCCGAGACAUAUACAAUUCUGCCAAUACUGCACUGUUGUAGUUGGUCUUGACAGGUAUGAAGUGGGCUGACUUGGUCAAGCGGUCCACUACUACCCAAAUGGAAUCGUAGCCGGCUCGAGUGCGAGGCAAUCCGACUAUGAAAUCCAUGCCAAUUUCAUCCCAUUUCCACUGAGGGAUCUGCAACGGUUGCAACAAUCCAGCUGGUCUCUGGUGUUCUGCCUUAAUUCUUCGACAACUAUCGCACAUAGCCACAUGCUCUGCGAUUUCCCUUUUCAUUCCGUACCACCAGAAUUUCUUCUUCAGAUCCUGAUACAUCUUCUCACUGCCAGGGUGAAUCGAAUAGGCUGUCUCAUGAGCUUCCUUAAGAAUCAACUCCCGAAUAGACUGGACAUUGGGAACACACAAGCGGUCUUUGAACCAUAUCACGCCUUCUGCAUCUUCUCGAAAGUCUUUGCCUUUGCCAUCUAGAAUCAAUCGCCGAAUCUCACUGAUCUUCUCAUCAUUUUUCUGCGCUUCUUUGAUUUCGCGCUCCAAGGUAGGUUCCAAUUCAACUGUGACUCCUCGCGAAUUGUUCAGAAAUCCGAGACUCAACCUGUCAAACUCCUUGGCCAACUCAUAAGGCAUCGGGCGAGCAACCAUCAGAUUGACUUGACCCUUUCUGCUCAAAGCAUCUGCCACUACGUUCGCUUUGCCUGGAUGGUAAUGAAUCUCCAACUCAUAGUCUUUGAUCAAUUCUAACCAUCUUCGUUGCCUCAUGUUCAAUUCUGACUGAGUGAAUAUGUACUUCAGACUCUUGUGAUCUGUGUAAACAUCGCAUUUCUGUCCAUACAAAUAGUGCCUCCAUGUCUUCAGUGCGUGAACCACUGCUGCCAACUCUAGAUCAUGGAUUGGGUAAUUCUUCUCAUGAACCUUCAGCUGUCGGGACGAGUAAGCCACAACUCUUCCCUCUUGCAUCAACACACAUCCCAAACCUGUGUAACAAGCAUCACAAUACACCGAGAAGGGCUUGUGCACAUCAGGCAAGACUAGGACAGGCGCUGUUGUCAACUUCUCUUUCAGCGCUUCAAAGGCCUCUUGGCAUUUCUGGGUCCACUUGAACUCAACCUUGUUGCCUAGCAACGCUGUCAUUGGUUUCGCAAUCUUCGAAAACCCUUCAAUGAAUCGCCGAUAAUAUCCGGCCAUUCCAAUGAAGCUCUUGAUUCCUCUAGCAUCUGUUGGCGCUUUCCAGUUCAGAAUGUCUGCCACUUUCUUCGGAUCCACAGCCAAUCCUUCUUUGUUGAUUAUGUGACCCAAGAACAGGACUUCACUGAUCCAGAACUCACACUUGCUCAACUUUGCAUACAACUGGUGCUCUCGCAAUCUCUGCAACACCAUCCUCAAAUGAUCUGCAUGCUCUUCUUCACUUUGAGAAUAAACCAGAAUGUCAUCAAUGAAUACCACCACGAACUUAUCAAGAUAAUCCAUGAAUACACUGUUCAUCAAGUUCAUAAAGAAUGCUGGCGCAUUGGUCAAACCAAAAGACAUCACUGUGAACUCAUAUAAACCAUACUUGGUAAUGAAUGCCGUCUUCGGAAUGUCCGAAGGUCGGAUCCUGAGCUGAUGAUAACCUGACCUCAGAUCGAUCUUGGAGAACACACUGGCUCCUCUCAACUGGUCGAACAGAUCUUCUAUUCUGGGCAAGGGAUACUUAUUCUUGAUCGUGACCUCAUUCAAAGCUCGAUAAUCGAUACACAUCCUCUUAGUACCAUCUUUCUUCUCCACAAACAAGACAGGGGCGGCCCAAGGCGAGGUGCUUGGCCGGAUGUAACCUUUCUCUGACAGCUCAUCAAUUUGCUUCUUAAGUUCAUCCAACUCUGGUCCAGAUAUUCUGUAAGCUCUCUUAGAGAUGGGGGCGGUUCCAGGAAGAAGCUCUAUAGCAAAUUCAACUUUCCGCUCUGGUGGCAUACCCGGUAAAUCCUUUGGAAACACAUCUGGGAAUUCAGACACAACCUUGAUACUCUCAAUUGGGUCUGCUUCACUGCUAUCAACAGCCAUCUGAUAACAACUUCCUUUCUUUGGCUCAGGCGGGACUAACUCGGUCACCACUUCCUCUCCUAGUGGGGACACUAACUUGAUGGUCCUUUUAUCACAACUGAUAACUGCCUGAUACUUAUCUAGCCAAUUCAUCCCUAGGAUGACAUCUAUUCCCUGAGUACCCAUUACUAUAAGGUUGGCGGGAAACGCUAUCCCCCUUAUUUCCACACUUACAUUUAAACAAAUGCUAUCAGCUCGAAUUCUACCACCGGCUGAGUCAAUUUGAAUGGGGGUUAACAUGGUAGUAGUUGGAAGAUUAUGUGCUUCUACCCAUGAUGCAGUAAUGAAAGAAUGUGUUGCUCCAGUAUCAAAUAACACUUCUGCAAUAUGGGAAUCGACUGGGAACAUACCUACUGUCAUGCCGGGGGUCUCCUGAACUGCUUCAGCUUCCAAGUGAUUCAAUCUUCCAUGAUUAUAGCGCUGCUGAGAGCGAUUGCCUGCUCCAGGCUGAGGCACAUUCUGCUUUGCUGGGGCAUUGGGGCCUGACUGCUGCUGGGCUGCCUUCUUCGGACAUUGCAUCACCCAGUGGCCUUGCUCUCCACAGUGGAAACAUGCCCUGUUUCCAACUUGAGCUGGUGCUGCCUGACUGUUCUGCUGAUUUGCUGGGGCAGGAAGACGAGGUGCUUGCUGAUUCUGCUUCUGAAACUGACCUCCUGACUGAUUGCUCUGACGGUUCUGGUACUGAUUCUGAGGGUACUGCCUUUGAAACUGCUGAUACUGCUGACGCUGCUGAUGCUGCUGAGGUGGACGCUGGUUCUGCCUGAACUGCUGAGGUUGAUUGCCUGAGAAACGGGGACGGCUGCUGCUUCCAGGCUGGGGUCCACUGAUCUUGCGCUUACGAUCUUCCAUCUCCUUGCGCUUCCUUUCUGUCAUGAUUGCUCUGUCAAUCAGGUGCUGGAAUGUCGGGAAGGUGUGAUUCAUCAGCUGAUACUGCAGAGGGUCAACCAAGCCUCUCAGGAAACGGUACUGUCGCUUGGCGUCGGUAUUGACAUCUUCGGGAGCGUAGCGAGACAAUUGCAGAAACCUGUCCCGAUACUCACUGACAGACGAUGACCCUUGCUUAAGGGCCAGGAACUCCUCCUUCUUCACUGUCAUCAGACCUGCAGGAACAUGGUACUGACGAAAGCUACCCCUGAAUUCUUCCCAGGUGAUGGUGUCGGGGUUGGCAUGGGUGGCGAGGUAAGACUCCCACCAUGACUGGGCUGCUCCUCUCAACAGACGGGGACCAUACAGAACUUUCUCCCUGUCAUCGCACUGAGCGGUAUGCAACUCCCGCUCCACAGUGCGCAGCCAAUCUUCAGCAUCCAUGGGGUCAGAAGAGUGAGCGAACGUUGGUGGAUGACCUCUCAUGAAUUCAGCACGCUUAUCUCUAGGCAUCUGAGGCAUCUGAGGCUGGGGUGGUGCUUGCUGCUGCUGCUGCUGCUGCUGCUGAAUGGCGGCCAAAGUCUGACCGAUAGCUUGAACUGCCUGAGUCUGCAUCAGAAACAUCUGCUCAAUCGACAUCGGGGGCGGGGGCGGCAGGUGCUGCUGCUGGGGCACCUCAUCCUGCGGAGCGGCUCGCUCCUGCUGAGCACGCCUUCCUCCUCUACGCCUGUUCUCUGACAUCUGCAGAACGCAACCACACAUCAGAACUGAUCUGGCAAAGCUUGCAGCAUAAGAAAAGAGUAUAGAAUUCUCCAACAGCACUGAACAGAUGAGCAUCUUCACUGAUUCUCCAACACAGACCACACAGCUUCUCAGAUAAAGAGGAAAGGAGAAUUAUGGGUUUCCCAACUAUAUAACUAACUUUAUUGACAUAGUAUGUAAACCAAAAUGCAGGGGAUACCCACACUCUGGUGACAAUCAUUACAAAGAUCCAAACCAAACAUAGUUCAUCAUGACAAACAUAGAUGCACAGGAUAUAGCAAACUACCCUGUCUAACUAAAACUAACUAAGAUCGAGGCUAACGCUAAGACUGAAGCUUCCAUGUAUAUAUUUCGUAUUAAUUACAAGAUCCAACUCUAACGAUCUAUGGUUCUAGGUUGAUCUUGGUCUUGCAGGCGGGAUUGCCAUAAGACUGGUGUCCACGCUGAGGUGAGCGGUACGGGUGCUGAGUCCCAACGGGAGCGGGGGAUCCACCGUCCAGAAAACGACGUUCCGCGCGCUCAGCCCGCAGCAGGGCGAUCUCAGCACGAGCCCUACUCAGCUCGUCUAAUGCAUGGUCCAGCUCCGUGUUUAGCACGGCGGCUAGGUUGACUGUGCUGCUCAACCUAGGAUUGCCCUCACCGACGGGUGAGACAAUCACGCCUCCUGUGCUGCCAGAUGAACGGCGGGGGUAAUACUUCAGGUCAAGACCGUCAGCUGCCCCACCGAAAACCGAGCAGUAGUGCGAAAGCGCACGCCGUGCAGCAUCUUGCAUGGCUGCCUCAGCUGAGUCCCGCUCAGAGAUAGAAUAGUGCUCUGAACAGGCCUCUGCACCCUGGAGACUGUCCUCCGGGCAGCGCACCAAGCAAGUCGCCUCCCAGCGGUCCGGGUAGACCCCGCGACUAUGCUGGUAGACCACACAGCGAUACUCGACGGACCAAGUAUGCCGGUCAAAUGCCCGACGUAGCAGGGUGUCGAGCGCAUCGUGGAAGUGACACCCGCGAGCAGCGUCGCGAGUGAUGGGUCGAGCAACCCAUCCUUCCGGCUCAGGAUUAGCAGAGAAGUCGGUGUCGUGGCUCGAGCUGUCGUCGCCUCCUCCGUCGUCUGGGUCUCCUCCAGCAGCUACUCCAGAAGCUGGGGCGCCCAGUGGUGGUGCAGGGGGCGGCUCCAGAGAAAGCACAGGGGAGCAGCUCCUCACAGACUCUAUCUCCUGGUGGAGCGAGAGGGAAGAGCUCCGCUGCUCCUGUCGUCGACGUUCCUGCUCCUCACGCAGGCGGUGGUGCAGUCUCUCCAAGUGGCUGGACUGUCCGGCCACGGGACGGCGAAGCGGACGCUCAGCAAGACGGGAGGGUAAGAAGGGGAUGACUGACUUUCGUGCAGUGUGUCUAAGUCGAGCCAUCUACAAAAGACAUCGCAAGCAAAAGGGUGAGAACAGAGUUAAUAUGACCAGCAAGUAAUGAAUCAUAAGUAAAUGAAGGAUUGGAAUAAAACAUGAUUUUUAGCAAGGUAUAGUAUAUAGUAGAACAUAGGUUUGGUCAGUAGGACCAACUUUUGAAGGGAUAUCAAAGUCAAGGAAGAGACAGAGGUCUAUAAUCCUUAGAACGACCAUUCUACUCUAGGUUAGCGGUCCUACAGUCAGCACGGCUUUGAUACCACUUAUGUCACACCCGGUUUUUAGAAGGCAAACCGAAUGCGAACCAUGUACGUGCCAGGAUCAGUUAUUCACGUACACAGCAGUUACAUAAUAUGGACAUCAUCACACAGUGCUCAAAAUAGUAUUAAAAGGGGAAACAAUAGUCGAUUACAUCAUACGUCUGAGACGUCCAUAUAGUUCUUACAAUAAAUCAAAGUGCGGAAAAGAAACGUAGAUAACGCGGCCUUCACAGGCAGCCGACUGGGGGUUGCCGCUAACCCACACCUAGAACUCGUCGUAAUCUUGGAACUCCUGGAAGUCUCCUUCCACAGCUUCAUCUUCGCCUGAGCAGUGGUUGCAAUGCUGACAACCUGGGGGGGGGUUUGGUGUGUAGAGCAAGGGUGAGUACACAUCAACAUACUCAGCAAGUAUCCUGUUUGGCUGUAGUGGACUAGCUUUAUGUGGGGAUAAGUCAAGCAGUUGCUUUUAGUUGGUCAGGUUAUUACUUACUAGUAGAAAGCCAGGUUUUAACAUUAACCCAAGUUAUUAGCCCAAUGUAUCCUUUCCAAACGGAAAGAAUACCACUUACCAGCACCAUAAUCAUAACCAGAUUCAACAGUCUCAUAACCACCUGUACCACAAUAUCUCUGAUCAAGUACCACUAAUCAUUGGAGCUCCCUUGGCCGCUCAUAACCGCGAGCACGGCUGAUAUAUCAGUUUCAUAACACUCUGCAGAGGUUGUGCACUUUACCCACAAGCCGUGAUUCCCAUUCUGCCCGGAGAUCAUGACUCUCCAUUGAUCACUACCAAGGUGAUCCAGCAGGGCAUCACUACGAAGCCUUUACAAAGAUUCCCCGGGGCUGUAGCCACCCGUUAGGUUUCCUAAAUGCACCGCACUCCUCCCCAAGGGGCGAACCCAAACUUGGCAGAGCGAGCCGCAUACACCGAGCCCCAUUGACGGCACGACGGCUAAGUGAACUACACCCCGGAUCCUCUAAUUAUUCAGCUAAGGGCACCCCAUUCCACCCUCAUGGUUGCACUGUUUUCCCGGGCGGUCAUCCAUAGAACAGGUCCUUACGGAGAGGCACUCGAGAAACCGCUCGAGUCCCCUUGAAAACCACAAGUAUAAUCAUAAAGAAGAGCGGGAAAACAGCGUAUCAUAGAUAAUCACAUCAUGUUCAUUGAUUAGAGUUGAGCAAUAGCAUCAGACUAAGUAGUAAUAAUCCGACCCAAAUAGGUAAACAAGGACAUGGAUAACAAAAGCUAGUCAAUCCUUAGGUAUAAAUGUGUAAAGCGGGAGGUGAAUUAAAGAAUGAAUAGGACAUAGAUAGGUCAAAGGACACUUGCCUCCACCAAACGACUGCUGCUCAGGGGCUUCUCCUGCGAAUUCCUCGGGCUCUUCGACCGGAUCGUUCUCUAUGCGAGCGCAAACAUACAUACAUACAUCCACAUAUUUAAUACAAAAGAACAGUACACCAUACAAGAUAACAAAUAAAGCGAAUAUGCAUCAAGUAUGACAUUCGAUAACGCAUUUGUUAUGGUUAGAAAGAAACGGGAAAGGUCUCGCAGGGGGGGUUAAAUCUUAUGCACUAAUGACACAAUUGGUUUUUAACAAAAGAAUUCUGUUACAUAUACACUAAUGGAAACCUAAUCACUUUUAGUUGAUCAACAUUGCACAGGGUAAACAAUUAACUACGUGCAUCAAUAGCAUAACGGAAUUUUAAAUUAAACUUCCUAUUUUCCCAUAGCAUGAACAGUGAUUAGCCUACUUAAAAUACAGUAAUUAUGAUUACAGAAAGUAAAUAAAAUAAAAUAAAAAAAAUAAAAAAAAAACAGAAGGGGGGGGCGGUUGAACCGGCCCUAGGGCGGUUGAACCGGCCCUAGGCGGGGCGCGGGAGCGGGCGGCUGAACCGGCGGGGCAGGGGGCGGCGCAGGGGGCGGCCGAGCCGGGGGGCGGGGCGGCCGAACCGGCGGGCAGGGAGGCGGCGCAGGGGCGGCCGAGCCGGGGGGCGGGGCGGCCGAACCGGCGGGCAGGGAGGCGGCGCAGGGGGCGGCCGAGCCGGGGGGCGGGGCGGCCGAACCGGCGGGCAGGGAGGCGGCCGAACCGGCCAUGGGGAAAGGGGAGAGGGGAUGGGGGAGGGAGGAGAGGGGGAGGGGGAGCUCACCGGGGAGGGGCGCGACGGCGAGGGGCGGCCGGCGGCAGGGGCGGCCGAGGGCGGCGGCUGGGCAGGGGGCGGCGGCGGCUUAGGGCAGGGGUAGGGGCGGCGGCUUAGGGAGAGGGAGAGAAAAUGAGAGAAAAUGAGAGGGAGAGGGAGAGGGUUUGGGGAAAAAGGGGAGGUGGGGGGGGGGCGGUUGGGCCUAUUGGGCCCAGGGGGGGGGGCGCGCAGGGGCGGCUGGGCCGGCCGGGGUCGGCCCACGGCGCGGGAGAGAGAGAAAAAAAAAGGAAGAGAGAGAGAAAAGAGAAAGAAAAGAGAAAGAAAACAUUUUCGAAAUCCGAUUCUUCUACAUGAAUGCAUUUGCACUUUCAAAGCAAUCAAAGGAAAUGCAAGGUUCGGCAUGGUGCAUCGAGCAACAUAAAGCAUUUAGGGUUUUUCUUACACGGGAAAUCCAAACCGAAUCCCGCUAGAACUUUGGAAAAGGUCAAGGUUUAGCGAGGGAAAAAGAAAAGGAAAGGUAACGCCCGAAUUUUGGCGAGUAAAGAAAAGAAAAAAAUUCAACUGCAAAAUUCGGGGCGUUACACUUUAAAAUGCAGGUAUAGGAUAAGCAUCAAGGUAAAGAUCGAGGGAUGACAAAGGUUAAGGUGAUAACGAACAAACACACAAUAAAGGAUGUAUUUUAAACAGGACUUGCAAAGUGUCAAAGAAGGGGAGCAGUCAACGAUGAAAUAGGUGAGGCAUUAUCCCUGAACAGGGAUGGAAAAGAGGAGGCUUCAAAGGGUAGGUUCAAUGUAAGCAGAAGGCAAGGGAAUAGAUAUCACGAGGGUCUAAAGGUGAUAACAGACAAGGAUGUAGGAGAGGGGUAAAUGGGUAUAAGAACGAAGGAUAUAAAUACCACAAAGGGUGGAGAUAAGAUAGAACGUGCAAGUGAAAAAAGAGGGCACGUCCAAGGGCUAGAUAGGUAAACUGCCACUCUCAAUUUGAGGUGGAAGAGGGGAUAUUUUUUUUAGUAUAUGAAUAAAGCUAAGUAUCAAGGCAAGAUCGAUGGAUGACAAGGUGAUGGUGAUAGCAAAUAAAAACACAGCAAAUGAUGGAAUUAAGACAACACUUGUAAGGUGUUAAGGAGCAAAAAGAAAUCAAGGGAGAGAUAGGUAACUCACAGCUCUCAAACUUGGUCGAAAGAAAGGGGAGGCUUUUAAAGGAUAAGUUCAAGGUAAGCGUUUAAGUAGAAGACAUAAAUAUCGCAAGGGUCAAAGGCGAUAACAGACAAGGGUAUGAGAGAAAAGAUGAAGGCAUUAGAGAGCCAGUGGUAUGAGUACAACAAACAAAGGAGGUCACAUCCAGGCUUUCACGCGAUAAGAAGAGGAUAUUGCCAAGGGUAGGAUAAGUAAAACACCGCUCUCAAAUUGGGAUAGGAGAUUGGAGAUUUUAGAGAAUGAACAGAGUGUAAUCACCAAGGUAAGAUCUAGAGAUGAGAAAGGUAAAGAUAAUACCCAACCGAAGCACAACAAAGGAUGGAGUUAAAAACUCGCAAGCGACAAGGAAGAGGAUACAACCAAUGGAAAAUGGGUAAAAUACAACUAUAAAAUUGAGAUGGAAGAGAGAACAUUUUAAAGGACAGGUAUAACAUAAGCAUCAAGUAAGAUAUAGAGGUGACAAGGGUAAAGGUGGUAAUGAUGAAAAGCAUAAUCCAUGGACAGAGUUAAGGCAAGAUUCACAAAGUGACUAAGUGGAGAAAACAAUCAAGGAUAAGAUAAGUGAGGUUCCAACAGAAGAGUUGAAGUAAAAAUUCAUUACCGAAGGAAGUUACAAGGAAACAACGAGAUUAUCACGGUUGUGCAAAAUAAAAUGAUCGCUCAUGGAUCAUUAAGAAAUAGGGGUGGUCAAGGACAUGUUAACUGAAAUGUCUAAGUAGGCAAUAGAAAUUUAGAGGCAAGUAUUUGAAACAAGAGUAUUAAAGGGAUACAAGCAUGUCAAUACCAAAGAACUAGAGUUCGCCAGAUGGUAACAACUUAAUGACGAAAGAGGAAAGAAUCCCAAAAAGACAAGAAGGUUAUGGUCAGGGGGCAUCUACAAAGAUGUCGCAAGCACAAGAGUGAGAUCAGAUCUAAUAGAAUGAAUAGGUGAAGCAUAGACAAUAUUAGAACAAAAUACAUUUGGCAAGGUGAUAUAUAGAAGCAUAACAUAGAAUUAGUCGAGGUGACUAAUAUUUUGAAGCAGCAUCAAGGAUGGGGUGAAGUAAAAGUCAAUAAGUCCUUAAAACGGUCAAUGCUACUCUAGGUCAGCGGUCCUACAGUCAGCACGGCUUUGAUACCACUUAUGUCACACCCGGUUUUGGAAGGCAAACCGAAUGCGAACUAUGUACGUGCCAGGAUCAGAAUUCACGUACACAACGAUUACAUAAAUGAACAUCAUCGCACAGUGCUCGAAUAAAAACAUGAAAGGGUAUUAACUUAUUACAUCACAGAGUCAUAGACAUCCACAUAGUCAUCAACUUAACAGUUAAAUCAAAGUGCUAGCGAAACGCAGUAAAGAUAAGGCCUUCACAGGCAGCUAACUGGGGUUGCCGCCAACCCACACCUAGAAUUCGUCGUAGUCUUGAAACUCCUGGAAGUCUCCUUCCACGACUUCGCCUUCUCCUGAGCAGUGGUUGCAAUGUGGACAACCUGGUGUUUGGUGGUAAAGCAAGGAUGAGUACACAUCAACGUACUCAGCAAAUGUCCCGUUUGGCUGAAGUGGACUAGCUUUAUGUGGGGCUAGGCUCAAGCAGUUGCUUUUAGUUGGUCAGGUAUUUAUUAUUAGUAGGAGCCAGGUUUUAUCAUAAAACCCAAGUUAUAAUCCCAAAAAGUACUUCCUCAGAGAAGAAAUACUAGAAAACAUAAUUAAAGUCACCAUCUGAAGUGUAUCCGGAGUAUCUCUAAUCAAAGAGGAUCCCAAGGCUGCUCUUAACCGUGAGCACGGCUGAUAUACCAGUUUCACUACCCUCUGCAGAGGUCGCACACUUUACCCAUGAGCCGUGAUUCCCUCUCUAGCCCGGGCUUGCAAGACCCUUAUUCACUCCCAAGGUGAAUGGCCAGGGAUUCACUAUGAAGCCUUUACAAAGAUUCCCUAGAGGUCAUAGCUGCCCGUUAGGUUUCUCCAGUUUGAUAAACACAGUACCUCUCCCCGCAGGAAGGUGACUAAAAAGCAAAACGAAAGAACCUCGGCACUCAGCCUCGGCAGAGCAAGCACUGUGCCUGGACCCCAUUGACGGCACGACGGCGAAGCAACUAAACUUCUAGUUCCUCUAAUUAAUUAGCUAAGGGCACCCCAUUCCACCCUCAUGGUUGCAUUGUUAUCCCGGGUGGUCUCUCAACGAACAGGUCCUUAUGGAGAGGUACUCGAGAAAACUGCUCGAGUCCCCUAGAUGCCACAAGUACAUCAUCAUAUCCAGAAUAAAAUCAUAGUAUCAUCAUUGUAUCUCAUCAUGUUCAUUGAUUAAAGUAAAGCGCUAGCAUGUAGCUAACCAUAGUAACCCAAAAGGUAAAUCAAGGACAAGGUGAAUAGAAAGCUAGUAAAUCCUUAGGUUUCAAUUAAGUAAUGCAGGAUAGUGAAUUAUAAGUGAAUAGGACAUAAUGGGUCAGAGGACACUUGCCUUCACCAAAUAGAUGCUCAGGGUCUUCAACCUUGCAGAACUCGAAGAACCAGGUCACUUGGUCACCGAAGCUUGACCGUCGAUUCCUCGAAGCUCGAAAACGGA